AGCGAACGCUGGCGGCAGGCCUAACACAUGCAAGUCGAACGAACUCUUCGGAGUUAGUGGCGGACGGGUGAGUAACACGUGGGAACGUGCCUUUAGGUUCGGAAUAACUCAGGGAAACUUGUGCUAAUACCGAAUGUGCCCUUCGGGGGAAAGAUUUAUCGCCUUUAGAGCGGCCCGCGUCUGAUUAGGUAGUUGGUGAGGUAAAGGCUCACCAAGGCUACGAUCAGUAGCUGGUCUGAGAGGAUGAACAGCCACAUUGGGACUGGGACACGGCCCAAACUCCUACGGGAGGCAGCAGUGGGGAAUCUUGCGCAAUGGGCGAAAGCCUGACGCAGCCAUGCCGCGUGGAUGAUGAAGGUCUUAGGAUUGUAAAAUCCUUUCACCGGUGAAGAUAAUGACUGUAGCCGGAGAAGAAGCCCCGGCUAACUUCGUGCCAGCAGCCGCAGUAAAAC
rnacentral:rRNA from 1 species